UACGGAGGGUGCAAGCGUUAUCCGGAUUCACUGGGUUUAAAGGGUGCGUAGGCGGGCAGGUAAGUCAGUGGUGAAAGCCCCAAGCUUAACUUGGGAACUGCCAUUGAUACUGAUGGUCUUGAGUACAUUUGAGGUGGGCGGAAUGUGUCAUGUAGCGGUGAAAUGCUUAGAUAUGACACAGAACACCGAUUGCGAAGGCAGCUCACUAAACUGUAAACUGACGCUGAGAACACGAAAGCGUGGGGGAGCAAACAGG
rnacentral:rRNA from 1 species